UACGGGAGGCAGCAGUGGGGAAUCUUCGGCAAUGGGCGCAAGCCUGACCGAGCCAUGCCGCGUGAGCGAUGAAGGCCUUAGGGUUGUAAAGCUCUUUCGCCAGGGAUGAUAAUGACAGUACCUGGUAAAGAAACCCCGGCUAACUCCGUGCCAGCAGCCGCGGUAAUACGGAGGGGGUUAGCGUUGUUCGGAAUUACUGGGCGUAAAGCGCGCGUAGGCGGAUUGGAAAGUUGGGGGUGAAAUCCCGGGGCUCAACCUCGGAACUGCCUCCAAAACUCCCAGUCUUGAGUUCGAGAGAGGUGAGUGGAACUCCGAGUGUAGAGGUGAAAUUCGUAGAUAUUCGGAAGAACACCAGUGGCGAAGGCGGCUCACUGGCUCGAUACUGACGCUGAGGUGCGAAAGUGUGGGGAGCAAACAGGAUUAGAUACCCUGGUAGUCCACACCGUAAACGAUGAAUGCCAGACGUCGGCAGGCAUGCCUGUCGGUGUCACACCUAACGGAUUAAGCAUYCCGCCUGGGGAGUACGGCCGCAAGGUUAAAACUCAAAGAUUUGGACGGGA
rnacentral:rRNA from 1 species